ensembl:miRNA
GGGACUAAAGGUGUGCACCAUCACCACCUGGCUUUCAGAGUGAAUUUGAGGCCAUCUGGCUAUAUGAGACUGCUUCACAUGGUAAGAAAAGGGGAAAGUGCCAGGCAGUGGUGGCGCAUGCUUUUAAUCCCAG